rnacentral:rRNA from 1 species
UACGGGGGGGGUAAGCGUUGUUCGGAAUUACUGGGCGUAAAGGGCUCGUAGGCGGCCAACUAAGUCAGACGUGAAAUCCCUCAGCUUAACUGGGGAACUGCGUCUGAUACUGGAUGGCUUGAGUUCGGGAGAGGGAUGCGGAAUUCCAGGUGUAGCGGUGAAAUGCGUAGAUAUCUGGAGGAACACCGGUGGCGAAGGCGGCAUCCUGGACCGAUACUGACACUGAGGAGCGAAAGCCAGGGGAGCAAACGGG